CAAUAGCGUAUAUUAAAGUUGUUGCAGUUAAAAAGCUCGUAGUUGGAUUUCUGGUGGGAGCGAUCGGUCUGGCGCUUAGCGCGAGUACUUGCAUCGUCUCCGGCCAUCCUUGGGGAGAGUCUGUCUGGCAUUAGGUUGUCGGGCAGAGGAUCCUCAUCGUUUACUGUGAAAAAAUUAGAGUGUUCAAAGCAGGCUUAUGCCGUUGAAUAUAUUAGCAUGGAAUAAUAAGAUAGGACUUUGGUACUAUUAUGUUGGUUUGCGCACCAAAGUAAUGAUUAAUAGGGACAGUUGGGGGUAUUCGUAUUCCGUUGUCAGAGGUGAAAUUCUUGGAUUUACGAAAGACGAACUACUGCGAAAGCAUUUGCCAAGAAUGUUUUCAUUAA
rnacentral:rRNA from 1 species